UACGGGGGGGGCAAGCGUUGUUCGGAAUUACUGGGCGUAAAGGGCGCGUAGGCGGCUCGCUAAGUCGGGUGUGAAAACUCUGGGCUCAACCCAGAGCCUGCAUUCGAAACUGACGAGCUAGAGUUCUGGAGGGGAAAGCGGAAUUCCUGGUGUAGCGGUGAAGUGCGUAGAUAUCAGGAGGAACACCGGUGGCGAAGGCGGCUUUCUGGACAGAAACUGACGCUGAGGCGCGAAAGCUAGGGGAGCUAACAGG
rnacentral:rRNA from 1 species